GACGAACGCUGGCGGCGUGCUUAACACAUGCAAGUCGAACGGUAAGGCCCUUCGGGGUACACGAGUGGCGAACGGGUGAGUAACACGUGGGUGAUCUGCCCUGCACUUCGGGAUAAGCCUGGGAAACUGGGUCUAAUACCGGAUAGGACCACUGCCUGCAUGGGUGGUGGUGGAAAGCCUUUGCGGUGUGGGAUGGGCCCGCGGCCUAUCAGCUUGUUGGUGGGGUGAUGGCCUACCAAGGCGACGACGGGUAGCCGGCCUGAGAGGGUGACCGGCCACACUGGGGCUGAGAUACGGCCCAGACUCCUACGGGAGGCAGCAGUGGGGAAUAUUGCACAAUGGGCGCAAGCCUGAUGCAGCGACGCCGCGUGAGGGAUGACGGCCUUCGGGUUGUAAACCUCUUUCAGCACCGACGAAGCGCGAGUGACGGUAGGUGCAGAAGAAGGACCGGCCAACUACGUGCCAGCCGCCGCGGUAA
rnacentral:rRNA from 1 species